rnacentral:SRP_RNA from 1 species
GCUGGGCAUGGUGGUGCAUGCCUGUAAUCCCAGCUACUUGGGAAGCUGAGGCAGGAGAAUCGCUUGAACCAGAGAGUCGGAGGUUGCAGUGAGCGAGAUCGCGCCACUGCACUCCAGCCUGGCAACAGAGUGAGACUCUGUCUCAA